rnacentral:rRNA from 1 species
GAUGAACGCUAGCGACAGGCUUAACACAUGCAAGUCGAGGGGCAGUACAGGUAGCAAUACCGGGUGGCGACCGGCGCACGGGUGAGUAACGCGUAUGCAACUUACCUAUCAGAGGGGGAUAACCCGGCGAAAGUCGGACUAAUACCGCAUGAAGCAGGGGUCCCGCAUGGGGAUAUUUGCUAAAGAUUCAUCGCUGAUAGAUAGGCAUGCGUUCCAUUAGGCAGUUGGCGGGGUAACGGCCCACCAAACCGACGAUGGAUAGGGGUUCUGAGAGGAAGGUCCCCCACAUUGGUACUGAGACACGGACCAAACUCCUACGGGAGGCAGCAGUGAGGAAUAUUGGUCAAUGGGCGUAAGCCUGAACCAGCCAAGUCGCGUGAGGGAUGAAGGUUCUAUGGAUCGUAAACCUCUUUUAUAAGGGAAUAAAGUGCGGGACGUGUCCCGUUUUGUAUGUACCUUAUGAAUAAGGAUCGGCUAACUCCGUGCCAGCAGCCGCGGUAAUACGGAGGAUUCGAGCGUUAUCCGGAUUUAUUGGGUUUAAAGGGUGCGUAGGCGGCCUUUUAAGUCAGCGGUGAAAGUCUGUGGCUCAACCAUAGAAUUGCCGUUGAAACUGGGGGGCUUGAGUAUGUUUGAGGCAGGCGGAAUGCGUGGUGUAGCGGUGAAAUGCUUAGAUAUCACGCAGAACCCCGAUUGCGAAGGCAGCCUGCCAAGCCAUGACUGACGCUGAUGCACGAAAGCGUGGGGAUCAAACAGGAUUAGAUACCCUGGUAGUCCACGCAGUAAACGAUGAUCACUAGCUGUUUGCGAUACAGUGUAAGCGGCACAGCGAAAGCGUUAAGUGAUCCACCUGGGGAGUACGCCGGCAACGGUGAAACUCAAAGGAAUUGACGGGGGCCCGCACAAGCGGAGGAACAUGUGGUUUAAUUCGAUGAUACGCGAGGAACCUUACCCGGGUUUGAACGCAUUCGGACCGAGGUGGAAACACCUUUUCUAGCAAUAGCCGUUUGCGAGGUGCUGCAUGGUUGUCGUCAGCUCGUGCCGUGAGGUGUCGGCUUAAGUGCCAUAACGAGCGCAACCCUUGCCACUAGUUACUAACAGGUAAAGCUGAGGACUCUGGUGGGACUGCCAGCGUAAGCUGCGAGGAAGGCGGGGAUGACGUCAAAUCAGCACGGCCCUUACAUCCGGGGCGACACACGUGUUACAAUGGCGUGGACAAAGGGAAGCCACCUGGCGACAGGGAGCGAAUCCCCAAACCACGUCUCAGUUCGGAUCGGAGUCUGCAACCCGACUCCGUGAAGCUGGAUUCGCUAGUAAUCGCGCAUCAGCCAUGGCGCGGUGAAUACGUUCCCGGGCCUUGUACACACCGCCCGUCAAGCCA